rnacentral:rRNA from 1 species
GAUGAACGCUGGCGGCGUGCCUAAUACAUGCAAGUCGAGCGGACGGACGAGAAGCUUGCUUCUCUGAUGUUAGCGGCGGACGGGUGAGUAACACGUGGAUAACCUACCUAUAAGACUGGGAUAACUUCGGGGAAGCGGAGCUAAUACCGGAUGAUAUUUUGAACCGCAGGGUUCAUAAGUGAACGCGGGACUUGCUGACACUAAUAGGUAGAACCGCGCUGCAUUAGCUAGUUGGUAAGGUAACGGCUUACCAAGGCAACGAUGCAUAGCCGACCUGAGAGGGUGAUCGGCCACACUGGAACUGAGACACGGUCCAGACUCCUACGGGAGGCAGCAGUAGGGAAUCUUCCGCAAUGGGCGAAAGCCUGACGGAGCAACGCCGCGUGAGUGAUGAAGGUCUUCGGAUCGUAAAACUCUGUUAGUAGGGAAGAACAUAUGUGUAAGUAACUGUGCACAUCUUGACGUUACCUAAUCAGAAAGCCACGGCUAACUACGUG